rnacentral:rRNA from 1 species
UACGUAGGAUGCGAGCGUUGUCCGGAAUUAUUGGGCGUAAAGCGAACGUAGGCGGCCUGGUAAGUUUGGUCUUAAAGACCGGGGCUCAACCCCGGGAAUGGACCGAAUACUGUCAGGCUGGAGUACGCUAGAGGAUGGUGGAAUUCCAAGUGUAGCGGUGAAAUGCGUAGAUAUUUGGAGGAACAUCAGUGGCGAAGGCGGCCAUCUGGGACAACACUGACGCUGAAGCACGAAAGCGUGGGGAGCAAACAGG